AUUCGAAUCCCCCAGGGAUCUUGUUAAGAAGCAGAUUCUGAUUCAGUGGGUUCAGGGUGAGGCCUAAGAUUCUCAAUUUCUAACAAGAUUUCAAGUGAUGCGGAU
rnacentral:pre_miRNA from 1 species